rnacentral:snoRNA from 1 species
AAAAAAGCAGGGAUCUGUUGCCUUUGUGAACUGGUCUCUUGUAUACUUCAGGGAAAUCAUUUCAUUGUUAUUGGGUGAGCCUCCGUAGAUAAUACAAUUAUCAGAAGGCUCAGUAAAUGAUGAUACAAAU